GUGGGGAAUAUUGGACAAUGGGCGAAAGCCUGAUCCAGCCAUGCCGCGUGUGUGAAGAAGGUCUUCGGAUUGUAAAGCACUUUAAGUUGGGAGGAAGGGCAGUAAGUUAAUACCUUGCUGUUUUGACGUUACCGACAGAAUAAGCACCGGCUAACUUCGUGCCAGCAGCCGCGGUAAUACGAAGGGUGCAAGCGUUAAUCGGAAUUACUGGGCGUAAAGCGCGCGUAGGUGGUUUUGUAAGUUGGAGGUGAAAUCCCCGGGCUCAACCUGGGAACUGCCUCCAAAACUGCAUGACUAGAGUACGAUAGAGGUUAGUGGAAUUUCCUGUGUAGCGGUGAAAUGCGUAGAUAUAGGAAGGAACACCAGUGGAGAAGGCGACUACCUGGACUGAUACUGACACUGAGGUGCGAAAGCGUGGGGAGCAAACAGGAUUAGAAACCCUAGUAGUCC
rnacentral:rRNA from 1 species